GACGAACGCUGGCGGCGUGCUUAACACAUGCAAGUCGAACGCUGAAGCUCAGCUUUUGUUGGGUGGAUGAGUGGCGAACGGGUGAGUAACACGUGAGUAACCUGCCUCCUUCUUUGGGAUAACGCCCGGAAACGGGUGCUAAUACUGGAUAUUCACUGGUCUUCGCAUGGGGGUUGGUGGAAAGGGUUUUUCUGGUGGGGGAUGGGCUCGCGGCCUAUCAGCUUGUUGGUGGGGUGAUGGCCUACCAAGGCUUUGACAGGUAGCCGGCCUGAGAGGGUGACCGGUCACAUUGGGACUGAGAUACGGCCCAGACUCCUACGGGAGGCAGCAGGGGGGAAUAUUGCACAAUGGGCGCAAGCCUGAUGCAGCGACGCCGCGUGAGGGAUGGAGGCCUUCGGGUUGUGAACCUCUUUCGCUCAUGGUCAAGCCGCAACAAUGGUUGUGGUGAGGGUAGUGGGUAAAGAAGCGCCGGCUAACUACGUG
rnacentral:rRNA from 1 species